UGGUGGAUAUGUAAAGGUUAGAUAGCCAU
rnacentral:piRNA from 1 species